ensembl:lncRNA
UAGUUAACGCCUCCUCGUUCCUCAAAGCCCAGCUCAGGAGUCACCGCCUCUUCGAUGCUGUCCAGACAGGCUCAAUCACUCCACAGCCUGGAUCAGUUCUGCUCCGUCUGCGCACUUCUCUCCCCGAGGGCCUCCUGAUACCUNNNNNNNNUGUCUGUCUUCUGUACUACGCUGUGAGCUUCCUAAGGCCAGACACCACAACUUGAGCCUUUGUAUUCCCAGGAUCCAGCAUUUAACAGGUCUGGAGAAUCAAAAUGGUGAGAUUGAAUUGGCAGAGGAAACGAGCGGACAAAGGAGGGGAAGAACAAGUCAAGUCUUGACCAGAGAGGGUACCAAGAAGGAAGGAGGCAUCGGGAGGGGCCUGGCAGUCAAGCUGGUGAGGGACUGAAAAUCACCAUCGAAUCUGGCAACUAGGAAGCAAACAGUCCCACUUCCCCCAGGGCUCAUCCCGCUCUAGGAUGAAAAGCCCUGGGCAGAUGGAGGUGGUCAGUCACUCAACAUCGGCGACCUUGAUGAGGGCAGUUCUGCGGGCGGGGGUGGGCAGAAGCCUCAUGUGAUGAGCCGAGGAGUGAUGGAGGCGGGGAAGGGAGAUUAGGGUGCUAUGACUGCUGAGUUGUUAGGCUGUGCUGAGAGGGGAGAGCAGGCAAAAACCUGGGGGACUCCCCAGCCCCACCGCUCCGGAGAGACAGCAGACAAAGCCGUCAGGAGCACUGUGGGCAUCUGGGUGCCUUCUUCCCGAAGGGCUCCAGCCCCGCCGCCCGACUGUUCCUCCCACCACCCUGAUCCCCAGAGCGGCAGCUGCGGCCUCUCUCCUCUGUGUAUUUUGUUCACUGAGCCCAGCAGAUUCUGCUUGGACAGCUUGGGGGUCCUCUCUUCUUUGGAGUUGUGAAAGUCUUCUUUGAAUCUGUGUAUCCUGUCCAAAUAAUUAGAUCCUGAACUUCUCAAAGGCAGGGACGAUGUCCUCCCCCCCGCCUCCCCUUUCCUUCCUUCAGUAAACACUAAUUAAGUGCUGUCUCUCCAGCGGUCACGAUGACGGCUAGAGUUCCUGCUCUCAGCUGUCUCACAGUCUGGGUUCAGGAGACCUGAACGUGGAGAAUUUUAUACCCUGGAGCCAGCAGAGAGCCUCAGAGAGUCUGUAAAAACCCAUCCUGUUAUAUGCCAAUACUGACUUGGUGUGUGUGUGUGCGUGCAUGCGUGCGUGUGUGUGUGUGUCAGAGGUGGAGACUGCAUGGGGGACUCUACAAACGAACACAUUCAAGCGGAGUCAAGCAGCUGGAUCCGAGUCUGAUCUGUGUGGUAUGGCAAAUUACUCUCCACUCUGUGUCUCCUUUUCCCGGUCUGUGAGAUGGGGACCACAUAGUGCCUUUCUCCUGGGGUCACAGUGAGGGUUGAAUGGGGAACAUACAGAAUAACUUGCCACGGUGCUUGGAACAGGGUAAGAGGACAAUCAGUGUCAGCUCUUACUGUUUUUGAGGGAGAGGGAGUGAGAGGAGCAUUCGUGAGACUCUCAAAGGAUUCUUGGUCCAGAAAAGGCCAGUCUCGUCCAGCGGGCAAGACUGACCUGCGUGCUAACCGCAGGACGCGCAAUAACAGGUGCUAAUGGGUGUUCAUCCGAGGGGCGCUGCGGGCACCUUCACCUUCCGCCCUGCGUCUCCCAAGCACCGGGUGGAUCAGGACCCUGCUCUGAGCGGUGGUUCAGAAGUAAAGGCUGAAUGGACCGCUCAUGGCCAUUGAGUUCAGGCUGGAACAACAUGUGAGGUGAGGCCAGAACUCCGUUUCUCCCAGCUGGACGGAUUAAAGGGACGAAAAAAAGAAGAAGAAGGCCUUUGCUCCUGAUCACAUUAAAAAGCAAUAGCCUGCACGGCAAUUAGACCCCGUAAAUUACAGAGCCUGCCUGUCAGCCGGCUGGGCGCUAUCUCAUUAGCCCGCGUGCCAGAGACGCUACACGCCCUGCCGGGAGCCGCCCCGUUGCCAAGCGCCUGCUCCAUAAUUAGACACAGAGUCCCGGCCUCGGCGAGGCGCCCACCCGCCCAUCCUGAGGGGCAGGUGCAGGUCACGGGCGGCCCGGCUGCGAGCCCUGCUCAGGGGAAGGGAGGUCAGAGCGCAGGUCUGAGUGGAGAGUCCCAGCCCUGCUGUGACCUUGGGAGGAGGUCUGGGAAGNNNNNNNNNNNNNNNNNNNNNNNNNNNNNNNNNNNNNNNNNNNNNNNNNNNNNNNNNNNNNNNNNNNNNNNNNNNNNNNNNNNNNNNNNNNNNNNNNNNCCUCGGGGAAGGAAGUGAAAGGGCAUGGGCCGAGGGCAGGGACCCCGCCUUCUCUCCACUGGACACCCGGUACCGGGAGCAAUGGGCCAGACGGGCUUCCCGGGAGACUCUGGGCUGGAGGUGGACUCCAGGAAGGUCAGGAGGUGGUGAAGUCUUUGCUCCAGGUUUGUCUGAGAACAUUUAAGCACCCAAGCCACCUAGCACGCGUGCGCACACACACACACACACACACACACACACUGGUUCUCAGUCACCCGUGGGCUGGUGGGGAUGGUACCUGGGGCCGGGAGAGGACUCAGGGCUGGGGCAAUACAGCCCCCGGAGGCCCCUGUAGCCAGAAUUACAGUAAGGGCUGGGCUGGCAGGCAGGUGCCCAAGAUGGAAAUAUAAGAUGUGUGUAGGAGAAAUCAUUCUCCAAGCCUCUUAGGGCAGAGAUGAGCACCCUUAAUGGUCAGGAAUGCUCCAGGGACGAGACAGUGGGGCUGGACACCACAGAGCUUGUGCUUUGCCAAGUGGAGGAUGCAGACUCCCUGGGAAGGCAAGAGGGCCCCGAGCUGGUCCCAGCAGCUCUCUGCCCACCCCCACGAAGCCCCCAGCCUCUCUUCUAGAUCCGCUUUGCACAGGUGAAGAGAGGCCCCCAGGGAGGGGUGCUGGGUGCCCGGCCUGCCCUGAUGCCCGCAGGUCUCCAGCCAACCACGACCGCCCGCCGAACGAGGGAGAACACUGCAGGUGCCCA